UACAGAGACUGCAAGCGUUAUUCGGAUUCACUGGGCGUAAAGGGUGCGCAGGCGGCCGUGUGUGUGAGGCGUGAAAGCCCGGGGCUUAACCCCGGAAUUGCACCUCAAACUACAUGGCUAGAGCAUUGGAGAGGGUAGCAGAAUUCAUGGUGUAGCAGUGAAAUGCGUAGAUAUCAUGAGGAGUACCAGAGGCGAAGGCGGCUACCUGGACAAUUGCUGACGCUCAGGCACGAAAGCGUGGGGAGCAAAAGGG
rnacentral:rRNA from 1 species